rnacentral:rRNA from 1 species
UGGGGAAUUUUGGACAAUGGGCGCAAGCCUGAUCCAGCAAUGCCGCGUGCAGGAUGAAGGUCUUCGGGUUGUAAACUGCUUUUGUACGGAGCGAAAAGGUCUGCCCUAAUACGGUGGGCUCAUGACGGUACCGUAAGAAUAAGCACCGGCUAACUACGUGCCAGCAGCCGCGGUAAUACGUAGGGUGCGAACGUCAAUCGGAAUUACUGGGCGUAAAGCGUGCGCAGGCGGUUAUAUAAGACAGUUGUGAAAUCCCCGGGCUCAACCUGGGAACUGCAUCUGUGACUGUAUAGCUAGAGUACGGUAGAGGGGGAUGGAAUUCCGCGUGUAGCAGUGAAAUGCGUAGAUAUGCGGAGGAACACCGAUGGCGAAGGCAAUCCCCUGGACCUGUACUGACGCUCAUGCAAGAAAGCGUGGGGAGCAAACA